ACUGCGUUAGUGCAUUUAAAAACAUGAUGAAAUAAAAAAUUUACUAUUAAAAAAUCCUCCAUAUUGAAUUUGUAAAAUGUCCACGUGGCAGCCAGACUGGAAUCAAUCUUGCACCGGACCCAGUACAGUACUGAAUGGAAAUGGUUGUGCCAGCAGUUUGAUGGAAACUAAUGAAGAAAUUAAAUCCUGUAUCUUCCAAAUUACCGGCUUUUCAGCUACGCUAG